AGCGGCGAACGGGUGAGUAAACGUAGGUGAUCUGCCCAUCAGACGGGGACAACGAUUGGAAACGAUCGCUAAUAUCGGAUAGGACGAAAGUUUAAAGGUGCUUCUGGCACCGCUGAUGGAUGAGCCUGCGGCGCAUUAGCUAGUUGGUAGGGUAAAGGCCUACCAAGGCGACGAUGCGUAGCCGACCUGAGAGGGUGAACGGCCACACUGGGACUGAGACACGGCCCAGACUCCUACGGGAGGCAGCAGUAGGGAAUCUUCGGCAAUGGGCGAAAGCCUGACCGAGCAACGCCGCGUGAAUGAUGAAGGCCUUCGGGCUGUAAAAUUCUGUUAUAAGGGAAGAACGACUUUAGUAGGAAAUGGCUAGAGUGUGACGGUACCUUAUGAGAAAGCCACGGCUAACUACGUGCCAGCAGCCGCGGUAAUACGUAGGUGGCGAGCGUUAUCCGGAAUUAUUGGGCGUAAAGAGCGCGCAGGUGGUUGAUUAAGUCUGAUGUGAAAGCCCACGGCUUAACCGUGGAGGGUCAUUGGAAACUGGUCGACUUGAGUGCAGAAGAGGGAAGUGGAAUUCCAUGUGUAGCGGUGAAAUGCGUAGAGAUAUGGAGGAACACCAGUGGCGAAAGGCGGCUUCCUGGUCUGUAACUGACACUGAGGCGCGAAAGCGUGGGGAGCAACAGGAUUAGAUACCCUGGUAGUCCACGCCGUAAACGAUGAGUGCUAAGUGU
rnacentral:rRNA from 1 species